CAUUAUUUUUUUCUUUUGCUGUUUGCUUGUUUGCUGACUCUACUUACCAAAAGCAACUAGGAAAGAGCAUAAGGAACUGAAUUGUAGUGUUAAUUCUGUAUUUAUUUGUGAUUAAAUUGCUUUCCUGUGCUUUGAUUUAUGAGGAAGGGGAAGCAUAAAUGGAUGACUAAGGGAUUCAGCUGCAAAACUCCCCUUAAUUUCUGUGUCUGCUGUUUGGUCGAGCAGUGCAACAGGCUUUAAACUUCUUCAGUGGUGCCCACAGUAUGCUGAAUAUGAUAGAAAAUGUUGUCUGGUUUAACUCUGAAGAGCUUACAGUCUAAGCAAGACAACAACAGGAGAGCAUGGAGGGAGCAGACAUCUGGAUUGCCUGUGACCAGGACAAUGCGCAUGGAGUCCUCCCUGCAGGGACUCUUGCAGGGUCUGGGGGCCGCUCAUCUGGAGCUGCACAGUUGUACAUGGAGUGGUUGGUGA
rnacentral:lncRNA from 1 species